rnacentral:rRNA from 1 species
GACAGAGGGUGCAAACGUUGCUCGGAAUUACUGGGCGUAAAGGGCGCGUAGGCGGCUCAACAAGUCAGAUGUGAAAUCCCGGGGCUUAACUCCGGACGUGCAUUUGAAACUGUUAGCUAGAGUGCAGUAGAGGAUGGUGGAAUUCCCAGUGUAGAGGUGAAAAUUCGUAGAUAUUGGGAGGAACACCGGUGGCGAAGGCGGCCAUCUGGGCUGCAACUGACGCUGAGGCGCAAAAGCGUGGGGAUCGAAAC